AUAGUCGAAAGACUGCCUAAAGGGCAGUAUCUAUAGAAGGGAAAUUUCGGGCAGAGCAACAACACGCGCUGGCCAUCUGCUACUGAACCUGUCAGUGCGGUACCUCGGGAUAAACAUUCUCUGGUGCAAACGUCGCUCUCACCUCUCCAACAAGCGGUGAACCAGUACUCCCUGCAUCGCGUCUUCUCCACGCUACAAACAAAGAAUGAAAUUCUCCGCCGACCUUGGAGCAAUUGUGAACCCAUUGAUCGUGCUGUUACUUCUUGCCCGGAUCCAGUUGAGCCGAGCGAAGCGUCUCCAUAAAAUGGACCCGGAAGACCCAGAAGCCUACCAGAUGGCUGAGUACGUCGAAAUAACGAUGUCAGAAGACGGUGACGUUGUCAACCGAGUGGACGAAGUUCGACUAGCAUUCUGGAAAGAAGUGGAUGCUGGAAAGGCGUACACACUGAAGUACUUGACGAGGCCGACGGUCUGCACGUAUCCCGUGCAUAAGGAGAUAGAGAGAUGCGCCAUGACUGACCCGGAGCCAAACAGAGAGUGCUUUGCUAUCAUAACGCAGCCUUACAUAGGAACCAAAGGAAAUAUAUGGACUGUAGACCACUACGAUUGCAGGCCUGCCCAUGGUAUGGAUGAAUAUCGAAAGCGGAACGCCGAAAUUCUUGAGCACGCUCAAAACGGAACCACAAGUGGGGCCACCAACAACGUUUCUCUCGGACAUCAAGUCAGAUAAGAUGAAAUAAACUUCUGAGGUACAACCUUGAA